UGUUUUGUCUCAAGCGCCUGAUACAUGUUAGUCCUUAGUUUCGCCGUUCAGAGUUUUGGUGACUUUAAUUUAUUAAGAGUUUUUUCUAGCAAUAAAGCUGCGUUUUGAGUUCCAGUCCCGUCUUUGAGAGUCCUGCAUUUUGGGUCCUUUUUCCUGCCUGCCUGCACACAGCCUAACAUGAUAAUAUAGGUAUAAGUGAUUCCAGAGUACCAAAGAUCUGGUUCAGUUCUUGCUCGGUCAUGAUGGAUAGCUUGAGCAUUGGGUCGUGGUAGGCCUACAGCACACGCAUAAAGAAACACAGAGGUUGUGCCGCUCCCAGUCGGACGUCAAAUGUCUCGCUCCACAGCUUGCUGUCCCGAC